rnacentral:tRNA from 1 species
GUAGGCGUAGCUCAGUUGGUAGAGCGCCGGCUUGUGGUGCCGGUGGUCGUGGGUUCAAAUCCCAUCGUUUACCCCA